rnacentral:misc_RNA from 1 species
UUUCCGUAGGUGAACCUGCGGAAGGAUCAUUACUGUGGGCCUUCUUCGGAAGCCCGCAAGAUAGCACCCUUUGCCUUUUUGAGUACCUUUGUUUCCUCGGCAGGCUCGCCUGCCAACGGGGACCUAUACAACCCUUUGCAGUAGUAUAACAAACGUCUGAUACACUUUAAUUAUCACAACUUUCAACAAUGGAUCUCUUGGUUCUGGCAUCGAUGAAGAACGCAGC